CACGUAGGCGGCUUGUUAAGUCAGGGGUGAAAUCCUGGAGCUCAACUCCAGAACUGCCUUUGAUACUGGCGAGCUUGAGUCCGGGAGAGGUGAGUGGAACUGCGAGUGUAGAGGUGAAAUUCGUAGAUAUUCGCAAGAACACCAGUGGCGAAGGCGGCUCACUGGCCCGGUACUGACGCUGAGGUGCGAAAGCGUGGGGAGCAAACA
rnacentral:rRNA from 1 species